rnacentral:rRNA from 1 species
AGCGAACGCUGGCGGCAGGCCUAACACAUGCAAGUCGAACGAAGUCUUCGGACUUAGUGGCGGACGGGUGAGUAACACGUGGGAACGUACCUUUUGGUUCGGAACAACUCAGGGAAACUUGAGCUAAUACCGGAUGAGCCCUUAGGGGGAAAGAUUUAUCGCCGAAAGAGCGGCCCGCGUUAGAUUAGCUAGUUGGUGAGGUAAAGGCUCACCAAGGCUACGAUAUAUAGCUGGUCUGAGAGGAUGAUCAGCCAGACUGGGACUGAAACACGGCCCAGACUCCUACGGGAGGCAGCAGUGGGGAAUCUUGCGCAAUGGGCGAAAGCCUGACGCAGCCAUGCCGCGUGAAUGAUGAAAGUCUUAGGAUUGUAAAAUUCUUUUACCAGGGACGAUAAUGACGGUACCUGGAGAAAAAGCCCCGGCUAACUUCGUGCCAGCAGCCGCCGUAA